rnacentral:rRNA from 1 species
UACGGGGGGAGCAAGCGUUGUUCGGAUUUACUGGGCGUAAAGGGCGCGUAGGCGGUCAGCACAAGUCAGUUGUGAAAUCUCCGGGCUUAACUCGGAAAGGUCAACUGAUACUGUGCGACUAGAGUGCAGAAGGGGCAACUGGAAUUCUCGGUGUAGCGGUGAAAUGCGUAGAUAUCGAGAGGAACACCUGCGGCGAAGGCGGGUUGCUGGGCCUGUACUGACGCUGAGGAGCGAAAGCGUGGGGAGCGAACAGG